rnacentral:rRNA from 1 species
AGAGUUUGAUCAUGGCUCAGAUUAAACGCUGGCGGCAUGCCUUACACAUGCAAGUCGAACGGCAGCGGACCUUCGGGUGCCGGCGAGUGGCGAACGGGUGAGUAAAGUAUCGGAACGUACCUUCAUGGGGGAUAACGUAGCGAAAGUUACGCUAAUACCGCAUAUUCUCUGAGGAGGAAAGCAGGGGACCUUCGGGCCUGGCGCGAGGAGAGGGUCCUGCGUCUGAUUAGCUAGUUGUGGGGUAACGGCCUACCAAGGCAUCGAUCAGUAGCCGGCCUGAGAGGGUGAUCGGCCACACUGGAACUGAGACACGGUCCAGACUCCUACGGGAGGCAGCAGUGGGGAAUUUUGCGCAAUGGACGAAAGUCUGACGCAGCAACGCCGCGUGGGUGAUGAAGGUCUUCGGAUUGUAAAACCCUGUCGUCGGGGACGAAGGUAGGGGGGUUAAUAGCCCUUUUGCUUGACGGUACCCGGAGAGGAAGCCCCGGCUAACUCUGUG